CAAUUCUCUAACAAUUGAUAAGUCCUUGGUUUAAACAAAUGAGCCACAACAACAGUGACAGUUGCUCAGCCACUGGCCUUUAUAAAGAGAGAAGUAAGACCAAUGCGACAGAGCUGGAAACGGGGACAAACAUUGAGAAGAAGAAAUGUGGUUUCUGGUGGUAUUGUCAUGUGUUGCGGUGGCAGCUCAGCCCAGGGACAGAGACCGAUGGGAUCAAGUUAACUCAGUGAAUGGAGAGAGAUAUUUUCCAGGGCCAGUAAAUGGAGGUGGAAAAGUGCCUCAGCCAGUGGGCAGAACUCCAGUUAGACCGAGAUGGGAGCAGAAUUUUGGACAUCCAGCUUUUCCAGAUCUGGUGGGCCCAUUGUAUCCAGAUGGACCAGAGCAACAAGCACAAGAUCCAUCUAAUGGAUCUCCAUUUGGACAAGAUCCAGAAUUCCGUGAUCAAAAUUUAGGAGGCAGGGGUUAUGUGUCUGAGUUGACUAUACCAGAGUCUAGUAUGAACCAGGUAACACAGAGGAGCGGACAAUGGCAUAGAUGGGGAGGAACAGGAAAACCACUGAGGAAUGGAAGAGCUGGUAGACCACCUUACAAACCGGACUGGAUGCCAAUGCGCCCAACUCAAGCUCCAGUAGAUGGGGGUACAGGGAAUCAAAUGAAUCCACUCUUUGGAAAACCCCUGAGUCCCAACAUGAUGGACAACAGGCAGUUCAUACCAAUCUUCAAGGCUGAAAAUGUCACUGUGCAGAAUGUUAGUGCUUUCCAUCUAAAGGAGGGAGAGAAUGUCUUCCUCUUACCAAAAGGUAGAGGGCAGAUGCAGCCACCAAAAAAGGGUGGAGUGAAUAGACCUCAGGAACUGGGGUAUGGGCAGGGUUUCUCCCUCUAUGGCCCCCAGCCUUACGUGAAGCUCAUCUACAACCCAACUGCAACGCAGUCUAUUGCAAAUUUGUUCCCCACAGCCAAGAAUCUCAUUUGAAUAUGGCAUUACACAGCUUCUCCCUGCAUUCAUGAAGGCGGAGUCUAACAGUGAUCAUGGGACAAAUUAGGAAAGAACCAUAUACAAUAAUCACACUGGUGGACAUCCAACUAUUAUAUAAUUCAGCAUAGAAUUUAAAUGUAUAAUAUAGAUUAUUAUUAUUAUUAUUGAUGAUUAAUGCCUCUUGGUGGUUGUUCACUCUUAGUUUGCUGGAUUUUCUUCUUUAAUCAUUUGAGAAUCUGUUCAUUAAAACAGUAUGUAUUUGUUCUAUUAUCAAGGUGUUUUGGUUUCCCUGUCUGUGUUCCCUAGUUAGUUUCCCUGGUUGUUAAUUAGUUCCCAAACCUGUUCCUCUUGACAUUGAUUACACUCCUCAUGUAUUUAAGCCCUGUGUUUCUCUAGUUCCAGUAUCAUCUUUAUUUAACAUGUUUGUAUGAAUGUUUCCUGUGAUCUCCUGAGUUAUUCCUGUGUGGAUUAAAUAAAGACUGUUUUUGUUGUCUACUCCUUUCGUUUUAGCGUUCUCAAAUGUGACACACUGCUACUUGAUCAUUUUGUCACUGAAUUGCAUCACUUAUUUUACUCUUGAUUACUAAUACAU